rnacentral:tRNA from 1 species
GCGGUCGUGGCGAAGGGGUUAACGCACUGGUCUGUGGUUCCAGCAUUCGUGGGUUCAAGUCCCAUCGAUCGCCCCA